UAUUGGACAAUGGGGGGAACCCUGAUCCAGCGACGCCGCGUGAGUGAGGAAGUAUCUCGGUAUGUAAAGCUCUAUCAGCAGGGGAGAAAGAAAUGACGGUACCUGAGUAAGAAGCCCCGGCUAACUACGUGCCAGCAGCCGCGGUAAUACGUAGGGGGCAAGCGUUAUCCGGAAUUACUGGGUGUAAAGGGAGCGUAGACGGUGAUGUAAGUCUGGAGUGAAAGGCGGGGGCCCAACCCCCGGACUGCUCUGGAAACUAUGUGACUGGAGUGCAGGAGAGGUGAGCGGAAUUCCUAGUGUAGCGGUGAAAUGCGUAGAUAUUAGGAAGAACACCGGUGGCGAAGGCGACUUUCUGGACUGUAACUGACGUUGAGGCACGAAAGUGUGGGGAGCAAACAGG
rnacentral:rRNA from 1 species